CAAUCAUAUAAAGCGCCAGGACCUUAGCAGUUAAUCUCUGAGGUCGACGAGGAAGAGGGUUAUCGAAGGAUUCGGCGGGUCCCUCUCGGUGGCUUGUCACCGUAAAGCUUACUUAAAACCGAAGAGUAAUUUUCGGGACAAAGGUGAAGCUGACAAGACAA
rnacentral:ncRNA from 2 species